rnacentral:lncRNA from 1 species
CAUUUUUUAAAAUUACUUUUCUCUGCCGUACAAUGUGCGGUAAGUAAACGAAUACUUAAAGUAGUUUGACUAAAAGAAAGUUGAGAACAGCUGAUUUGGACUAGUGAUAUGAUGUUUGAUUUUAUAAUGAAUAGAGUUAUUAAUUAUUUAACAGCUCUUCGCCUAUUAAAUUGGCGUCCUGUUGCUACAACCCAUUUAGCUCAAUGGUUUUGGCAAUGCUGAAAUGUUGAUUAUAAUUACAAUAUUUGAGAUUUUAACACCACAAAUCUGCAUGAAAGUUAUGAGAUGAUGACUAGCCAUGACGGGUUAGUUAAGAACCCAUCACGGCUAAACAGAUUUAUGGGAGUCAACGGGCAAAGAAAGGAUCUAGAUCAGUUGAUUGAUUCCGGAUUCUACAAGCAGCUGUUUGGAAGGGCCAUUGUUCUCUCAAGUUUUCAAAUAAAAUACUGUAAGCUUAAGCUAAAGCUAUAUUCAGAUGAUCAAAAUUCAUCAAUGUAAAGCCUGAUAACUAUAAUUGGCC